GAUGAACGCUGGCGGCGUGCCUAAUACAUGCAAGUCGAGCGAACGGACGAGAAGCUUGCUUCUCUGAUGUUAGCGGCGGACGGGUGAGUAACACGUGGAUAACCUACCUAUAAGACUGGGAUAACUUCGGGAAACCGGAGCUAAUACCGGAUAAUAUUUUGAACCGCAUGGUUCAAAAGUGAAAGACGGUCUUGCUGUCACUUAUAGAUGGAUCCGCGCUGCAUUAGCUAGUUGGUAAGGUAACGGCUUACCAAGGCAACGAUGCAUAGCCGACCUGAGAGGGUGAUCGGCCACACUGGAACUGAGACACGAUCCAGACUCCUACGGGAGGCAGCAGUAGGGAAUCUUCCGCAAUGGGCGAAAGCCUGACGGAGCAACGCCGCGUGAGUGAUGAAGGUCUUCGGAUCGUAAAACUCUGUUAUUAGGGAAGAACAUAUGUGUAAGUAACUGUGCACAUCUUGACGGUACCUAAUCAGAAAGCCACGGCUAACUACGUGCCAGCAGCCGCGGUAAUACGUAGGUGGCAAGCGUUAUCCGGAAUUAUUGGGCGUAAAGCGCGCGUAGGCGGUUUUUUAAGUCUGAUGUGAAAGCCCACGGCUCAACCGUGGAGGGUCAUUGGAAACUGGAAAACUUGAGUGCAGAAAAGGAAAGUGGAAUUCCAUGUGUAGCGGUGAAAUGCGCAGAGAUAUGGAGGAACACCAGUGGCGAAGGCGACUUUCUGGUCUGUAACUGACGCUGAUGUGCGAAAGCGUGGGGAUCAAACAGGAUUAGAUACCCUGGUAGUCCACGCCGUAAACGAUGAGUGCUAAGUGUUAGGGGGUUUCCGCCCCUUAGUGCUGCAGCUAACGCAUUAAGCACUCCGCCUGGGGAGUACGACCGCAAGGUUGAAACUCAAAGGAAUUGACGGGGACCCGCACAAGCGGUGGAGCAUGUGGUUUAAUUCGAAGCAACGCGAAGAACCUUACCAAAUCUUGACAUCCUUUGACAACUCUAGAGAUAGAGCCUUCCCCUUCGGGGGACAAAGUGACAGGUGGUGCAUGGUUGUCGUCAGCUCGUGUCGUGAGAUGUUGGGUUAAGUCCCGCAACGAGCGCAACCCUUAAGCUUAGUUGCCAUCAUUAAGUUGGGCACUCUAAGUUGACUGCCGGUGACAAACCGGAGGAAGGUGGGGAUGACGUCAAAUCAUCAUGCCCCUUAUGAUUUGGGCUACACACGUGCUACAAUGGACAAUACAAAGGGCAGCGAAACCGCGAGGUCAAGCAAAUCCCAUAAAGUUGUUCUCAGUUCGGAUUGUAGUCUGCAACUCGACUACAUGAAGCUGGAAUCGCUAGUAAUCGUAGAUCAGCAUGCUACGGUGAAUACGUUCCCGGGUCU
rnacentral:rRNA from 1 species